rnacentral:rRNA from 1 species
UUAAGAGAGUUUGAUUCUGGCUCAGGAUGAAUGCUGGCGGCGUGGAUAAGGCAUGCAAGUCGAACGGUGCAGGGUAGCAAUACUUUGCAUAGUGGCGAACGAGUUAGUAACACCUUGGUACAUACCUCGAAGUCGGGCACAACUAGUCGAAAGAUUAGCUAAUUCCC